rnacentral:rRNA from 1 species
UACGGAGGGGGUUAGCGUUGUUCGGAAUUACUGGGCGUAAAGCGCGCGUAGGCGGACUAUUAAGUCAGGGGUGAAAUCCCGGGGCUCAACCCCGGAACUGCCUUUGAUACUGGUAGUCUUGAGUUCGAGAGAGGUGAGUGGAAUUCCGAGUGUAGAGGUGAAAUUCGUAGAUAUUCGGAGGAACACCAGUGGCGAAGGCGGCUCACUGGCUCGAUACUGACGCUGAGGUGCGAAAGCGUGGGGAGCAAACAGG